rnacentral:rRNA from 1 species
UACAGAGGUCUCAAGCGUUGUUCGGAUUCAUUGGGCGUAAAGGGCGCGUAGGCGGCGGGGCAAGUCGGGUGUGAAAUCUCAGGGCUCAACCCUGAAACUGCACUCGAUACUGCUCUGCUUGAGGACUGGAGAGGAGACUGGAAUUCACGGUGUAGCAGUGAAAUGCGUAGAUAUCGUGAGGAACACCGGUGGCGAAGGCGGGUCUCUGGGCCGAAACUGACGCUGAGGAGCGAAAGCGUGGGGAGCGAACAGG